CACUGCGGGAGGAUCAGCUGCUGGUGGCCGUGGCCUUACCCCAGGCCAGAAGGAACCAGAGCCAGGGCAGGAGAGGUGGCAGCUACCGCCUCAUCAAGCAGCCAAGGAGGCAGGAUGAGGAAGCCCCAAAGAGGGACUGGGGGGCUGACGAGGACGGGGAGGUGUCUGAAGAAGAGGAGUUGACCCCGUUCAGCCUGGACCCUCGUGGCCUCCAGGAGGCACUCAGUGCCCGCAUCCCCCUCCAGAGGGCUCUGCCUGAGGUGCGGCACCCACUGAACCAACAGCAUCAGCAUUACCUGGGAGCUCACCAGAAAUGCAGAAUCUCAGGCCCCACCCCAGACCUACUUGACCUAAGUCUACAUUUAAUGAGGUCCCGGAUGGUUCAAGGGCAUAUGGACACCGGAGAGGCACUGAGCUACGUCUUGGCUUCUACCACCCCGUCUUUGGAUUACUGUCUGCUCUAUGACCUGCUAUCAACUGCUCACUUUUUGCAUGUCUAAAGCUCACACUUCUUGAGAUGGAGGAUCUGGCAGGUUUCUCUGGCCGCUAGCCUGGGGAGGCUGUCCCUGUUAGCUGGAACUAUGGCUCCAAGAUGCUUCAUAGGCCUCCGGUCAGUGUUCAGACCAGUGACUCCCAGUCUGUGCCUGUCUCUGGUUCAGAGGUAGAUGCCAGGAUCAGAGCAAGCCAAGGAUCCCCUGAACCCCUCCAGAAGUGAGCUGUGGGAGUUUGGAUAACCUGCACAAAGAGAAGGGGAUGGCAUGUACCUUGUGACCUCUGUCCACUGAUGGAGAAUGACAGGCUGGCAGCAUCAGCCU
rnacentral:sRNA from 1 species